AGAGUUUGAUCCUGGCUCAGAACGAACGCUGGCGGCAUGCCUAACACAUGCAAGUCGAACGAGACCUUCGGGUCUAGUGGCAGACGGCUGAGUAACGCGUGGGUGACGUACCUGUUGGUGGGGAAUAACUGCCCGAAAGGGUGGCUAAUUCCGCAUACGCCCGAUUCUUCGGUUGGAUUGGGGAAAGUCGCAAGACGCCAAUGGAGCGGCCCGCGUUCGAUUAGCUAGUUGGUGGGGUAACGGCCUACCAAGGCAACGAUCGAUAGCUGGUCUCAGAGGAUGAUCAGCCAGACUGGGACUGAGACACGGCCCAGACUCCUACGGGAGGCAGCAGUUAGGAAUUUUGGGCAAUGGGCGAAAGCCUGACCCAGCAACGCCGCGUGGGUGACGACGGCCUUCGGGUUGUAAAGCCCUUUUCUGGGGGAAGAUGAUGACGGUACCCCAGGAAGAAGCACCGGCUAACUACGUGCCAGCAGCGGCGGUAAUUC
rnacentral:rRNA from 1 species